GGCGGAUGUACCCAAGUGGAUCA
rnacentral:tRNA from 2 species